UACGUAGGGGGCAAGCGUUGUCCGGAAUCAUUGGGCGUAAAGCGCGUGUAGGCGGUUCGGUAAGUCUGCUGUGAAAGUCCAGGGCUCAACCCUGGGAUGCCGGGUGGAUACUGUCGGACUAGAGUACGGAAGAGGCGAGUGGAAUCCCGGUGUAGCGGUGAAAUGCGCAGAUAUCGGGAGGAACACCAAUUGCGAAGGCAGCUCGCUGGGGACGUUACUGACGCUGAGACGCGAAAGCGUGGG
rnacentral:rRNA from 1 species